CGAACGCUGGCGGCGUGCCUAAUACAUGCAAGUCGAACGAACUCUGGUAUUGAUUGGUGCUUGCAUCAUGAUUUACAUUUGAGUGAGUGGCGAACUGGUGAGUAACACGUGGGAAACCUGCCCAGAAGCGGGGGAUAACACCUGGAAACAGAUGCUAAUACCGCAUAACAACUUGGACCGCAUGGUCCGAGCUUGAAAGAUGGCUUCGGCUAUCACUUUUGGAUGGUCCCGCGGCGUAUUAGCUAGAUGGUGGGGUAACGGCUCACCAUGGCAAUGAUACGUAGCCGACCUGAGAGGGUAAUCGGCCACAUUGGGACUGAGACACGGCCCAAACUCCUACGGGAGGCAGCAGUAGGGAAUCUUCCACAAUGGACGAAAGUCUGAUGGAGCAACGCCGCGUGAGUGAAGAAGGGUUUCGGCUCGUAAAACUCUGUUGUUAAAGAAGAACAUAUCUGAGAGUAACUGUUCAGGUAUUGACGGUAUUUAACCAGAAAGCCACGGCUAACUACGUGCCAGCAGCCGCGGUAAUACGUAGGUGGCAAGCGUUGUCCGGAUUUAUUGGGCGUAAAGCGAGCGCAGGCGGUUUUUUAAGUCUGAUGUGAAAGCCUUCGGCUCAACCGAAGAAGUGCAUCGGAAACUGGGAAACUUGAGUGCAGAAGAGGACAGUGGAACUCCAUGUGUAGCGGUGAAAUGCGUAGAUAUAUGGAAGAACACCAGUGGCGAAGGCGGCUGUCUGGUCUGUAACUGACGCUGAGGCUCGAAAGUAUGGGUAGCAAACAGGAUUAGAUACCCUGGUAGUCCAUACCGUAAACGAUGAAUGCUAAGUGUUGGAGGGUUUCCGCCCUUCAGUGCUGCAGCUAACGCAUUAAGCAUUCCGCCUGGGGAGUACGGCCGCAAGGCUGAAACUCAAAGGAAUUGACGGGGGCCCGCACAAGCGGUGGAGCAUGUGGUUUAAUUCGAAGCUACGCGAAGAACCUUACCAGGUCUGACAUACUAUGCAAAUCUAAGAGAUUAGACGUUCCCUUCGGGGACAUGGAUACAGGUGGUGCAUGGUUGUCGUCAGCUCGUGUCGUGAGAUGUUGGGUUAAGUCCCGCAACGAGCGCAACCCUUAUUAUCAGUUGCCAGCAUUAAGUUGGGCACUCUGGUGAGACUGCCGGUGACAAACCGGAGGAAGGUGGGGAUGACGUCAAAUCAUCAUGCCCCUUAUGACCUGGGCUACACACGUGCUACAAUGGAUGGUACAACGAGUUGCGAACUCGCGAGAGUAAGCUAAUCUCUUAAAGCCAUUCUCAGUUCGGAUUGUAGGCUGCAACUCGCCUACAUGAAGUCGGAAUCGCUAGUAAUCGCGGAUCAGCAUGCCGCGGUGAAUACGUUCCCGGGCCUUGUACACACCGCCCGUCACACCAUGAGAGUUUGUAACACCCAAAGUCGGUGGGGUAACCUUUUAGGAACCAGCCGCCUAAGGUGGGA
rnacentral:rRNA from 2 species